rnacentral:rRNA from 1 species
ACUACGGGUGGCAGCAGUGAGGAAUAUUGGUCAAUGGGCGUAAGCCUGAACCAGCCAAGUCGCGUGAGGGAUGAAGGUUCUAUGGAUCGUAAACCUCUUUUAUAAGGGAAUAAAGUGCGGGUCGUGUCCCGUUUUGUAUGUACCUUAUGAAUAAGGAUCGGCUAACUCCGUGCCAGCAGCCGCGGUAAUACGGGGGAUCCGAGCGUUAUCCGGAUUUAUUGGGUUUAAAGGGUGCGUAGGCGGCCCUUUAAGUCAGCGGUGAAAGUCUGUGGCUCAACCCUAGAAUUGCCGUUGAAACUGGAAGGUUGGAGUAGGUGUGAGGCAGGCGGAAUGCGUGGUGUAGCGGUGAAAUGCUUAGAUAUCACGCAGAACCCCGAUUGCGAAGGCAGCCUGCCAAGCCAUGACUGACGUUGAUGCACGAAAGCGUGGGGAGCGAACAGGAUUAGAUACCCGAGUAGUC